GUCUACGACCAUGCCACCCUGAACAAAGCUGUUCCCGUCUGAUCUUGGAAGGGUCGGGCCUGGUUAGUACUUGCAUGAGAGGCCGCCUAGGAAGACCAGGUGCUGUAGGCA
rnacentral:rRNA from 1 species